UAGGGAAUCUUCCACAAUGGACGAAAGUCUGAUGGAGCAACGCCGCGUGAGUGAAGAAGGGUUUCGGCUCGUAAAACUCUGUUGUUAAAGAAGAACAUAUCUGAGAGUAACUGUUCAGGUAUUGACGGUAUUUAACCAGAAAGCCACGGCUAACUACGAGCCAG
rnacentral:rRNA from 1 species